UGUCCUGAAGGAACUCGGCAAAUUGCCUCCGUACCUUCGGAAGAAGGAGGCCUCCUCGACGGGCAACCGUUGCGGGAGGGGCACAGGCCAGGGGGUAGCGACUGUUUAGCAAAAACACAGGGCUCUGCUAAGUCGGCUUCAAGACGACGUAUAGGGCCUGACGCCUGCCCGGUGCCUGAAGGUUAAGUGGAGGGGUGCAAGCUCUGAAAUGAAGCCCAGGUAAACGGCGGCCGUAACUAUAACGGUCCUAAGGUAGCGAAAUUCCUUGUCGGGUAAGUUCCGACCUGCACGAAUGGCGUAACGACUUCCCCACUGUCUCCAGGACAUGCUCAGCGAAAUUGAAUUCUCCGUGAAGAUGCGGAGUACCCGCGGUUAGACGGAAAGACCCCGUGCACCUUUACUGCAGCUUCAGAGUGGCAUUAGGAAGGAACUGUGUAGCAUAGGUGGGAGGCUUUGAAGCAUUGGCGCCAGCUGAUGUGGAGCCAUAGGUGAAAUACCACCCUGUUGUUUUCUGAUGUCUAACCUCGUUCCGUGAAGCCGGAACAGGGACCCUCUGUGGCGGGUAGUUUGACUGGGGCGGUCGCCUCCCAAAGAGUAACGGA
rnacentral:rRNA from 1 species